rnacentral:rRNA from 1 species
AAACCAACCGGGAUUGCCUCAGUAACGGCGAGUGAAGCGGCAAGAGCUCAAAUUUGAAAGCUGGCCCCUCCGGGGUCCGCAUUGUAAUUUGCAGAGGAUGCUUCGGGCUCAGCCCCCGUCUAAGUGCCCUGGAACGGGCCGUCGGAGAGGGUGAGAAUCCCGUCUGGGACGGGGUGCCUGGGUCCAUGUGAAGCUCCUUCGACGAGUCGAGUUGUUUGGGAAUGCAGCUCUAAAUGGGUGGUAAAUUUCAUCUAAAGCUAAAUACUGGCCGGAGACCGAUAGCGCACAAGUAGAGUGAUCGAAAGAUGAAAAGCACUUUGAAAAGAGAGUUAAACAGCACGUGAAAUUGUUGAAAGGGAAGCGCUUGCGAUCAGACUCGCCUGCGGGGUUCAGCCGGCAUUCGUGCCGGUGUACUUCCCCGUGGGCGGGCCAGCGUCGGUUCGGGUGGCCGGUCAAAGGCCCCGGGAAUGUGUCGCCCUCCGGGGCGUCUUAUAGCCCGGGGUGCCAUGCGGCCUACCUGGACCGAGGAACGCGCUUCGGCUCGGACGCUGGCGUAAUGGUCGUAAGCGAC